rnacentral:rRNA from 1 species
GGAGCGGAACGGCAUGGGAGGGCCGGCCGCAGCGGGUGACAGCCCCGUACGCGAACCCAGACCGGACGGCGCGACGCGGUCCCUGAGUAGGGCCGGGCACGUGAAACCCGGUCCGAACCUGGGUGGACCACCAUCCAAGCCUGAGUACUACCCUGUGACCGAUAGCGCACCAGUACCGUGAGGGAAAGGUGAAAAGCACCCCGGGAGGGGAGUGAAACAGUACCUGAAACCGUGCGCCCACGAGCAGUCGGAGCACCCUUGUGGUGUGACGGCGUGCCUUUUGUAGAAUGAGCCAGCGAGUCGCUGGCGCGGGGCGAGGUUAACCGAAAGGGAGCCGGAGCGAAAGCGAGCCUUAACAGGGCGACUUGAGUCCCGCGCCGCGGACGCGAAGCCGGGUGAGCUAUCCGUGGGCAGGCUGAAGCGGGGGUAAGACCCCGUGGAGGGCCGAACGCACGUCGGUUGAAAACGGCGGCGAUGACCUGCGGAUAGGGGUGAAAGGCCAAUCAAACCCGGAGAUAUCUCGUUCUCCCCGAAAUAGCUUUAGGGCUAGCGUCGCGCGUUCACCGCCGGAGGUAGAGCACCGGAUGGACGAGGGGGCUUCGCCGCCUACCGAAUCCAACCGAACUCCGAAUGCCGGCGGCCCAGAGCGCGGCAGUCAGAGCAUGUGGGCUAAGCUGUGUGCUCGAGAGGGAAACAGCCCGGACCGCCCGCUAAGGUCCCCAAGUUCCAGCCGAGUGGCAAAGGAUGUGCGUCCGCCCAGACAACCAGGAUGUUGGCUUAGAAGCAGCCAUCCAUUCAAAGAGUGCGUAACAGCUCACUGGUCGAGUGGACAUGCGCCGACAAUACACGGGGCUAAGCUGGACACCGAAGCGGCGGGAUUUUAUUUAUUAGAAUCGGUAGGGGAGCUUCCCAUGGGCGGAGAAGCCGGAGGGCGACCGACGGUGGAGCGCAUGGGAGUGAGAAUGCUGGCAUGAGUAGCGAGAGACGAGAGAGUAACUCGUCCGCCGUGAACCCGAGGUUUCCUGGGCAAGGCUAAUCCUCCCAGGGUCAGUCGGGGGCUAAGGCGAGGCCGGGAGGCGUAGCCGACGCGCAGCAGGCAGACAUUCCUGCACCGCGCACGCGGCGCUACGACCGACGGGGCGACGGAUGGGGGUGGCUCGGCGGGGUUCUGGACGUCCCCGUGAUGGAGCGCGGCCCGCGGACCAGGGAAAUCCGGUCCGCAUCAAGGGCGAGGCUCCGGACGAAGCACUUAAGCGAAGCGAGUGAGCCCGAGGUCCCUAGAAAAACCCCUAGGCAGGCGCGUGCGCGCCCGUACCGCAAACCGACACAGGUGGGUGGGUAGAACAUACCGAGGCGAUCGGGUCAACCAUGGUCAAGGAACUCGGCACAAUGGCCCCGUAACUUCGGGAGAAGGGGUGCCCGCGCGUACGUGAACCGGCUUGCCCGGGGAGCGGAGGCGGGCCGCAGUGGAGAGGCCCAAGCGACUGUUUACCAAAAACACAGGACUCUGCAGAAGCCGCAAGGCGACGUAUAGGGUCUGACGCCUGCCCGGUGCCGGAAGGUCACGCGGAGGAGUUAGCCGCAAGGCGAAGCCCCGAAGCCAAGCCCCGGUAAACGGCGGCCGUAACUAUAACGGUCCUAAGGUAGCGAAAUUCCUUGUCGGGU